AUUCUUAGCUUGGAGGGGAGACACCUGAUCAAAGGUAGUUUUCUCAAGGUAAGGCUUAUCUUUUGCCUGUUGACUCUGCCAGCCCCUACAGCAUCCCCCAUGUGGGAAACUCAACUUUAGAAUCUGUGCUAGUGAGGGAAGGAUGGUGCUCAUGCUUCUUAC
rnacentral:snRNA from 1 species